UACGGAGGGGGGCUAGCGUUGUUCGGAAUUACUGGGCGUAAAGCGCGCGUAGGCGGACCUGCAAGUCGGGUGUGAAAGCCCUCAGCUCAACUGAGGAAGUGCGCCCGAAACUGCAGAGCUUGAGUGCCGGAGAGGGUGGCGGAAUUCCCCAAGUAGAGGUGAAAUUCGUAGAUAUGGGGGAGGAACACCCGGUGGCGAAGGCGGCCACCUGGACGGUAACUGACGCUGAGACGCGAAAGCGUGGGGAGCAAACAGG
rnacentral:rRNA from 1 species